UAGCGUUGUUCGGAAUCACUGGGCGUAAAGCGCUCGUAGGUGGCUUUGUAAGUCAGGUGUGAAAGCCCACGGCUCAACCGUGGAAUUGCACUUGAUACUGCAUUGCUUGAGUUCGGGAGAGGGUAGUGGAAUUCCAGGUGUAGGAGUAGAAAUCCGUAGAGAUCUGGAGGAACACCAGUGGCGAAGGCGACUACCUGGACCGAUACUGACACUGAGGAGACGAAAGCGUGGGGAGC
rnacentral:rRNA from 1 species